CGUAGGGUGCAAGCGUUACUCGGAAUUAUUGGGCGUAAAGCGCGUGUAGGCGGUUCUGUAAGUCUGAUGUGAAAGCCCGAAACUCAAUUUCGGAAGUGCAUUGGAUACUGCAGGACUAGAGUAUCGGAGGGGUCGACGGAAUUCCUGGUGUAGAGGUGAAAUUCGUAGAUAUAAGGAGGAACAACAGUGGCGAAGGCGGUUGACUGGACGAUUACUGACGCUGAGACGCGACAGUGUGGGGAGCAAACAGGAUUAGAUACCCUGGUAGUCCACACCGUAAACGAUGGGUACUAGUUGUCGCACGUUCUUACCCGUGCGGUGACGCAGCUAACGCGCUAAGUACCCCGCCUGGGAAGUACGGUCGCAAGAUUA
rnacentral:rRNA from 1 species